UGCAGUCGAACGAAGUAGCAAUACUUAGUGGCGAACGGGUGAGUAUAAUGUGGGUAUCUGCCUUUUGGUUUGGAAUAACACGGGGAAACUUGUGCUAAUACUGGAUAAGCCUUUACAGGGAAAGCUUUAGCGCCAAAAGAUGAGCCCACACUUGAUUAGCUAGUUGGUAAGGUAAAAGCUUACCAAGGCUACGAUCAAUAGCUGAUCUGAGAGGAUGAUCAGCCACAUUGGGACUGAGACACGGCCCAAACUCCUACGGGGGGCAGCAGUGGGGAAUCUUGCACAAUGGGGGAAACCCUGAUGCAGCGAUGCCGCGUGAGUGAAGAAGGCCUUUGGGUUGUAAAGCUCUUUCGUCGGGGAAGAAAAUGACUGUACCCGAAUAAGAAGAUCCGGCUAACUCCGUGCCAGCAGCCGCGGUAAUACGGAGGGAUCUAGCGUUAUUCGGAAUUACUGGGCGUAAAGCGAGCGUAGGCGGAUUUGUAAGUUGGAGGUGAAAUCCCAGAGCUUAACUCUGGAACUGCCUUCAAAACUACAUUUCUCGAGUUUGGUAGAGGAGAGUGGAAUUCCUAGUGUAGAGGUGAAAUUCGUAGAUAUUAGGAGGAACACCAGUGGCGAAGGCGACUCUCUGGGCCAAUACUGACGCUGAGGUUCGAAAGCAUGGGUAGCGAACAGGAUUAGAUACCCUGGUAGUCCAUGCAGUAAACGAUGAGUGCUA
rnacentral:rRNA from 1 species